rnacentral:rRNA from 1 species
GACGGAGGAUGCAAGCGUUUAUCCGGAAUCAUUGGGUUUAAAGGGUCCGUAGGCGGUUUAAUAAGUCAGUGGUGAAAGCCCAUCGCUCAACGGUGGAACGGCCAUUGAUACUGUUAAACUUGAAUUAUUAGGAAGUAACUAGAAUAUGUAGUGUAGCGGUGAAAUGCUUAGAGAUUACAUGGAAUACCAAUUGCGAAGGCAGGUUACUACUAAUGGAUUGACGCUGAUGGACGAAAGCGUGGGUAGCGAACAGG